CUGGAGGCAGCAGUGGGGAAUCUUCGGCAAUGGGGGCAACCCUGACCGAGCGACGCCGCGUGCGGGACGAAGGCUUUCGGGUCGUAAACCGCUUUUCUCUGGGACGAGAGACGGACGGUACCAGAGGAAGAAGCCUCGGCUAACUACGUGCCAGCAGCCGCGGUAAUACGUAGGAGGCGAGCGUUGUCCGGAGUUACUGGGCGUAAAGGGUGCGCAGGCGGCUCGGCGCGUGUGCGAUGAAAUCUCCCCGCUCAACGGGGAGGGGGUCGUGCAAACGGCCGGGCUUGAGGCUCGCAGAGGGGCGUGGAAUUCCGGGUGGAGCGGUGAAAUGCGUAGAGAUCCGGAGGAACACCGACGGCGUAAGCAGCGCCCUGGACGAGAUCUGACGCUCAGGCACGAAAGCUGGGGGAGCAAACAGGAUUAGAUACCCCAGUAGUCC
rnacentral:rRNA from 1 species